rnacentral:rRNA from 1 species
ACUCCUACGGGAGGCAGCAGUGGGGAAUAUUGCACAAUGGGCGCAAGCCUGAUGCAGCCAUGCCGCGUGUGUGAAGAAGGCCUUCGGGUUGUAAAGCACUUUCAGCGGGGAGGAAAGGUCACUAGUUAAUACCUAGUGGCAUUGACGUUACUCGCAGAAGAAGCACCGGCUAACUCCGUGCCAGCAGCCGCGGUAAUACA